rnacentral:rRNA from 1 species
AACGAACGCUGGCGGCAUGCCUAACACAUGCAAGUCGAACGAGACCUUCGGGUCUAGUGGCGCACGGGUGCGUAACGCGUGGGAACCUGCCCUUAGGUUCGGAAUAACUCCCCGAAAGGGGUGCUAAUACCGGAUAAUGUCUUCGGACCAAAGAUUGAUCGCCUUUGGAUGGGCCGGCGUUGGAUUAGCUAGUUGGUAGGGUAAAAGCCUACCAAGGCGACGAUCCAUAGCUGGUCUGAGAGGAUGAUCAGCCACACUGGGACUGAGACACGGCCCAGACUCCUACGGGAGGCAGCAGUGGGGAAUAUUGGACAAUGGGCGAAAGCCUGAUCCAGCAAUGCCGCGUGAGUGAUGAAGGCCUUAGGGUUGUAAAGCUCUUUUACCCGGGAUGAUAAUGACAGUACCGGGAGAAUAAGCUCCGGCUAACUCCGUG